UGGGGAAUAUUGCGCAAUGGGCGGAAGCCUGACGCAGCGACGCCGCGUGGGGGAUGACGGCCUUCGGGUUGUAAACCUCUUUCGACUUCGACGAAGCCUUCGGGUGACGGUAGGGGUGGAAGAAGCACCGGCCAACUACGUGCCAGCAGCCGCGGUAAUACGUAGGGUGCGAGCGUUGUCCGGAAUUAUUGGGCGUAAAGAGCUCGUAGGCGGUGUGUCACGUCGGCCGUGAAAACCUGCAGCUUAACUGUGGGCGUGCGGUCGAUACGGGCAUCACUGGAGUUCGGCAGGGGAGACUGGAAUUCCUGGUGUAGCGGUGAAAUGCGCAGAUAUCAGGAGGAACACCGGUGGCGAAGGCGGGUCUCUGGGCCGAUACUGACGCUGAGGAGCGAAAGCGUGGGGAGCAAACA
rnacentral:rRNA from 1 species